GGUGAGGUGGCUGAGCGGUUGAAAGCGGCACCGUGCUAAGGUGUUAGGGAUGAAAGUCCCUCGUGGGUUCGAAUCCCACCCUCACCG
rnacentral:tRNA from 1 species